rnacentral:rRNA from 1 species
UACGUAGGGGGGCUAGCGUUGUCCGGAAUCAUUGGGCGUAAAGAGCGUGUAGGCGGUCCGGUAAGUCCGCUGUGAAAGUCGGGGGCUCAACCCUCGAAUGCCGGUGGAUACUGUCGGGCUAGAGUGCGGAAGAGGCGAGUGGAAUUCCUGGUGUAGCGGUGAAAUGCGCAGAUAUCAGGAGGAACACCAAUGGCGAAGGCAGCACUCUGGGACGUGACUGACGCUGAGACGCGAAAGCGUGGGGAGCAAACAGG